AUAGAGUAGUAUCACAUAAAUUAGAACUUUGCUACAGAAAAACGACACCAACUAGCUAGUUUUCCAAUAAUCGACGUCGACCAGCGAAACUAUUGCCUAAUACCAUUACAUGGCAUUUACCUAAGCAAAUCAAAAUACACAAUAGAGACUUAAUACUGUCAAGAGCAACAAAAUUCUUGAGCCAAACCUCUGCCAUCUAACAAGAAAAUACUCCAAAAGUAAAAAUUACAAGAAAAAGAAGAAUCCACAAACCAUGCAAAAGAAAACAUUAUCAGCAGAAAGGAAUGUGAGAAAGAUGGAGAAUAAAGAUUAAUCCUCGUCCAUCCCUGCAGGUUGUUCUCUCCUGCCUGGACCUCCCGCUGGUUUUGACAUUAUAAUCUGGUCUACCCGAAGCACAGUGCAGACAGCAUCAGCAGCAUAUUUUAGAGCAAAAUAUUUGGUAACAUAGAGGUCCCAUAUACUCAAGCCAGAGAUAUCCUCACAGGCACCUUUCUCCAAGUUAAGGCCCACUUUGACAUUUCCAGAUGCAUGUUCAGCAUACAAGGAUGAUAUGAUCUCCAUCGCAUUGAGGCCAGCAUUCUCAGCUAGCGUUUUAGGAACCAUCUCAAAACUUUCAGCAAACUUAGCUAUUGCAUAUUGAUCCAACCCCAUCUCUUUGAAAGAGAA
rnacentral:misc_RNA from 1 species